rnacentral:rRNA from 1 species
ACGCUGUCUUCAGAGUUUGAUCCUGGCUCAGGACGAACGCUGGCGGCGUGCCUAACACAUGCAAGUCGAACGGAGCGAUUACUCGGUUUUUUGCUUAGUGGCGAACGGGUGAGUAACGCGUGAGAAACCUGCCUUUCAGUGGGGGACAACAGUUGGAAACGACUGCUAAUACCGCAUAAUGUCAUUUAAGGGCAUCCUUGAAUGACCAAAGCUUUAUGUGCUGAAAGAUGGUCUCGCGUCUGAUUAGCUAGUUGGUGAGGUAACGGCUCACCAAGGCGACGAUCAGUAGCCGGUCUGAGAGGAUGAACGGCCACAUUGGGACUGAGAUACGGCCCAG